UACGUAGGGUGCAAGCGUUGUCCGGAAUUAUUGGGCGUAAAGAGCUCGUAGGCGGUCUGUCGCGUCUGCUGUGAAAACUCGGGGCUUAACUCCGGGCCUGCAGUGGAUACGGGCAGACUAGAGGUAGGUAGGGGAGAAUGGAAUUCCCGGUGUAGCGGUGAAAUGCGCAGAUAUCGGGAGGAACACCGGUGGCGAAGGCGGUUCUCUGGGCCUUACCUGACGCUGAGGAGCGAAAGCGUGGGGAGCAAACAGG
rnacentral:rRNA from 1 species